rnacentral:rRNA from 1 species
UACGUAGGGUCCAAGCGUUGUUCGGAAUUACUGGGCGUAAAGCGCGCGUAGGCGGGUUUGCAAGUCGAUUGUGAAAGCCCUGGGCUCAAACCCGGGGAUGUGCAGUCGAAACUGUAAAUCUUGAGUGCCUGAGAGGAUGGCGGAAUUCCCAGUGUAGAGGUGAAAUUCGUAGAUAUUGGGAAGAACACCGGUGGCGAAAGCGGCUUCCUGGUCCAGCACCGACGUCAGGCACGAAAGCGUGGGGAGCAAACAGG